CCUACGGGAGGCAGCAGUGAGGAAUAUUGGUCAAUGGACGAGAGUCUGAACCAGCCAAGUAGCGUGAAGGAUGACUGCCCUAUGGGUUGUAAACUUCUUUUAUAUGGGAAUAAAAUGUUCCACGUGUGGGAUUUUGUAUGUACCAUAUGAAUAAGGAUCGGCUAACUCCGUGCCAGCAGCCGCGGUAAUACGGAGGAUCCGAGCGUUAUCCGGAUUUAUUGGGUUUAAAGGGAGCGUAGGUGGAUUGUUAAGUCAGUUGUGAAAGUUUGCGGCUUAACCGUAAAAUUGCAGUUGAAACUGGCAGUCUUGAGUACAGGAGAGGUGGGCGGAAUUCGUGGUGUAGCGGUGAAAUGCUUAGAUAUCACGAAGAACUCCGAUUGCGAAGGCAGUUCACUGGACUGCAACUGACACUGAGGCUCGAAAGUGUGGGUAUCAAACAGGAUUAGAUACCCCAGUAGUC
rnacentral:rRNA from 1 species